CAGUGUUGAAGAAAAGCUCUACUGCUCGUCCAGCAGUCAGUCCCAUGACAUCUGAGGAUGAUAACGCUGCGGAAGCAGGUCCCUCAACAGAAGUCUUGAGCAGCAGAAGGCGUUCGCCUGAACCCCUACAAAGAAGGACACAUGUGCCAACAAAGAAAGUACGGUCUGAUGGCCACUCCCAAACACAGCAGGCUACCCGCCACGAAGACUGUCUGCAGUUUCUUUGGUACCACCACUGCAAAUUUUGGACACACCUCCAGGACGCAAACCACACUCUCCAUCUGGAUGAUUCUAGUACUGGUACCAGCAUCCCUACGCAACCAACUCAACACAGUGACAUGGAGGACACAAUCACUUGAUAAUGCCGAUUGAUUACCUUAUAACCUUCA